GCUUACUUAGUCUAGGAGCGGGCGCCUCAGAGAACGAGUCAUGUGGACUUGGACUCCAACUCGCUUCCCGCUUGGCGUUGUCUCCACCUAGCAUUUGAAGAUAUCUGUGCGCUACUUGACUCCAUAUAGCGUGACGAAAGCAGCGCUGGACCACCUGACAAGAUGCACGGCGUUUGAGAACGCGCAAUAUGGUGUACGGGUGAACGCGAUCAACCCUGGUGUGAUCAAGACAACCUUUGGGAUGCGCCCUGGAGUCAGCGAGCAGGAACAAAAAGAGAAGCUCGAGAUGACAAGCAGCGCACACGCGCUAGGCCGAAUCGGAACAGCACAGGAGGUCGCUCGCUGCAUCGCUUUCCUGGCUUCCGAGGACGCCUCGUUCAUCACUGGGAUCACGAUGCUCGUGGACGGGGGCCUGACACUCAUGUCCAGCCUCACGGGUGCGAACCCUUGGCACAAGGAAUAGCGGACUGCACGAGAACAAAGCAACUGGUUCCUGCGACUUCUCCAAGUUUCGAGGAUUAGCAACAGACAGCACAGUAAACUAGUGCUAUA